CUCAGUAACACGUGGAUAACCUGCCCUUAGGACUGGCAUAACCCCGGGAAACUGGGGAUAAUUCCGGAUAGUUCAUGGUAGCUGGAAUGCUCCAUGAUCGAAAGCUAUUGCGCCUAAGGAUGGGUCUGCGGUCUAUCAGGUAGUAGUGGGUGUAAUGUACCUACUAGCCGACGACGGAUACGGGUUGUGGGAGCAAGAGCCCGGAGAUGGAUUCUGAGACAUGAAUCCAGGCCCUACGGGGCGCAGCAGGCGCGAAAACUUUACAAUGCGGGAAACCGCGAUAAGGGGACACCGAGUGCCAGCAUCUUAUGUUGGCUGUCCGCAUGUAUAAAUCACAUGUGUUAGCAAGGGCCGGGCAAGACCGGUGCCAGCCGCCGCGGUAACACCGGCGGCCCGAGUGGUGGCCACUAUUAUUGGGUCUAAAGGGUCCGUAGCCGGUUUGGUCAGUCUUCCGGGAAAUCUGACGGCUUAACCGUUAGGCUUUCGGGGGAUACUACCAGGCUUGGGACCGGGAGAGGUAAGAGGUACUAC
rnacentral:rRNA from 1 species